UACAUGGGUAACCUACCCUCAGGUGGGGAAUAACUUCCCGAAAGGGAUGCUAAUGCCGACGAUACCCACCGGCCUCAUAAGAGGCUGUUGGAAAGCCGAACCGAGGGUUCGGCGCCUAAGGAUGGGCUCAUGUCCUAUCAGCUUGUUGGCGGGGUAAUGGCCCACCAAGGCUGCGACGGGUAGCUGGUCUGAGAGGACGACCAGCCACACUGGCACUGCGACACGGGCCAG
rnacentral:rRNA from 1 species